rnacentral:rRNA from 1 species
CCACAGAAGGUAAUAGUCCUGUAUGUUAAACGAGAAGACUUUAGAUAUGAUCCAGAGUACCACGGGACACGUGAAACCCUGUGGGAAGCAGGAGGGACCACCCUCCAAGGCUAAAUACUACCUAGUGACCGAUAGCGUAUAGUACCGUGAGGGAAAGGUGAAAAGAACCCCGGGAGGGGAGUGAAAUAGAACCUGAAACCCUGCACUUACAAGCUGUGGAAGCACAUUUCUUGUGUGACCGCGUACUUUUUGUAGAACGGGCCAACGAGUUACGUUAAGUAGCAAGGUUAAGCACUUAAGGUGCGGAGCCGUAGCGAAAGCGAGUUUUAACUGAGCGUUCAGUUACUUGACGUAGACCCGAAACCGGGCGACCUACCCAUGAGCAGGAUGAAGCGAAAGUAAAAUUUCGUGGAGGUCCGAACCCACGAGCGUUGAAAAGCUCGGGGAUGACUUGUGGGUAGCGGUGAAAUUCCAAUCGAGCCCGGAGAUAGCUGGUUCUCCCCGAAAUAGCUUUAGGGCUAGCCUCAAGGUGAGAGAUACGGAGGUAGAGCACUGAAUGUCCUAGGGGGUAUUGCACCUACCGAAGACUAUCAAACUCCGAAUGCCGUCAUCUUAUACUUGGGAGUCAGACUGUGGGUGAUAAGAUUCAUAGUCGAAAGGGCAACAGCCCAGAUCGUCAGCUAAGGUCCCUAAAUGUAAGUUAAGUGGUAAAGGAUGUGGGAUUGCACAGACAACCAGGAUGUUGGCUUAGAAGCAGCCACUCAUUCAAAGAGUGCGUAAUAGCUCACUGGUCGAGUGAUCCUGCGCCGAAGAUUUCCGGGGCUAAAACUUACUACCGAAGCUACGGCAUCAGUAAUGAUGGGUAGGGGAGCUUCCCAUACGGGUUGAAGCAUGACCGUAAGGACAUGUGGACAGUAUGGGAGUGAGAAUGUUGGCAUGAGUAGCGAGAUGUGGGUGAGAAUCCCACAGGCCGUAAACCCAAGGUUUCCAGGGGAAGGUUCGUCCGCCCUGGGUUAGUCGGGACCUAAGCUGAGGCCGAAAGGCGUAGGUGAUGGACAACAGGUUGAUAUUCCUGUACUACCGAUAACCGUUUGAGAGAAGGGAUGACACAGUAGGAUAAGCUAAGCACACUGUUGGUUAUGUGUGCCCAAGCAUUGAGGCAGUCAAAGUAGGCAAAUCCGCUUUGAUAAUGCUGGGAUGUGAUGGGGAGCGAAAUUUAGUAGCGAAGUAGCUGAUUUCACACUGUCAAGAAAAGUCUCUAUCGAGGUUAAAGGUACCCGUACCGCAAACCGACACAGGUGGGUGAGGAGAGUAUCCUAAGGCCAGCGAGAGAACUGUUGUUAAGGAACUCGGCAAAAUGACCCCGUAACUUAGGGAUAAGGGGUGCCACCAUCAGGUGGCCGCAGAGAAUAGGCCCAAGCGACUGUUUACCACAAACAUAGGUUUCUGCUAAGUCGCAAGACGAUGUAUAGGAGCUGACGCCUGCCCGGUGCUGGAAGGUUAAGGGGAUCUGUUAGAGCAAUCGAAGCAGGGAACUUAAGCCCCAGUAAACGGCGGCCGUAACUAUAACGGUCCUAAGGUAGCGAAAUUCCUUGUCGGGUAAGUUCCGACCCGCACGAAAGGCGUAACGAUUUGGGCACUGUCUCAACAACAGACUCGGUGAAAUUGUAAUUCCGGUGAAGAUGCCGGAUACCUGCGACAGGACGGAAAGACCCCAUGGAGCUUUACUGUAGCUUGACAUUGGGUCUUGGUACUACAUGUACAGGAUAGGUGGGAGGCUUUGAAACCAGGACGCCAGUUUUGGCGGAGCCAUCCUUGGGAUACCACCCUUGUAGUACUGGGACUCUAACCAUAGGCCAUGAAUCUGGUCUUGGGACACUGUCAGGUGGGCAGUUUGACUGGGGCGGUCGCCUCCCAAAAGGUAACGGAGGCGCUCAAAGGUUCUCUCAGUACGGUCGGAAAUCGUACGUAGAGUGUAAAGGCAAAAGAGAGCUUGAUUGCAAGACAUACAGGUCGAGCAAGGAUGAAAAUCGGACUUAGUGAUCCGGUGGUUCUGCGUGGAAGGGCCAUCGCUCAACGGAUAAAAGCUACCCUGGGGAUAACAGGCUUAUCUCCCCCAAGAGUCCACAUCGACGGGGAGGUUUGGCACCUCGAUGUCGGCUCAUCACAUCCUGGGGCUGUAGUAGGUCCCAAGGGUUGGGCUGUUCGCCCAUUAAAGUGGUACGCGAGCUGGGUUCAGAACGUCGUGAGACAGUUCGGUCCCUAUCCGUCGCAGGCGUAGGAAAUUUGAGAAGACCUGUCCUUAGUACGAGAGGACCGGGAUGGACGUACCUCUGGUGUACCAGUUGUCCUGCCAAGGGCAUGGCUGGGUAGCUAUGUACGGAAUGGAUAAGCGCUGAAAGCAUCUAAGCGCGAAGCCAACUUCAAGAUAAGAUUUCCCACCGCAAGGGUAAGACCCCAGAAAGAC